CCUACGGGAGGCUGCAGUGGGGGAUAUUGCACAAUGGGGGGAACCCUGAUGCAGCGACGCCGCGUGGGUGAAGGAGUGCUUCGGCAUGUAAAGCCCUAUCGGCAGGGAAGAAGCAAGACGGUACCUGACUAAGAAGCCCCGGCUAACUACGUGCCAGCAGCCGCGGUAAUACGUAGGGGGCGAGCGUUAUCCGGAUGCAUUGGGUGUAAAGGGAGCGUAGACGGCCAUGCAAGCCAGGGGUGAAAGCCCGGGGCCCAACCCCGGGACUGCCCUUGGAACUGUGCGGCUAGAGUGCGGGAGGGGCAGGCGGAAUUCCUGGUGUAGCGGUGAAAUGCGUAGAUAUCAGGAGGAACACCGGCGGCGAAGGCGGCCUGCUGGACUGCGACUGACGUUGAGGCUCGAAAGCGUGGGGAGCGAACAGGAUUAGAUACCCGGGUAGUC
rnacentral:rRNA from 1 species